rnacentral:rRNA from 1 species
UACGAGGGGGGCAAGCGUUGUUCGGAAUUAUUGGGCGUAAAGGGCGCGUAGGCGGUUUGACAAGUCAUUGAUGUGAAAUCUAUGGGCUCAACCCAUAGCCUGCAUUAGAAACUGUCGGGCUUGAGUAUGGGAGAGGUGAGUGGAAUUUCCGGUGUAGCGGUGAAAUGCGUAGAUAUCGGAAGGAACACCUGUGGCGAAAGCGGCUCACUGGACCAUAACUGACGCUGAGGCGCGAAAGCUAGGGGAGCAAACAGG